rnacentral:piRNA from 1 species
UGCUUGAAUCUGUUUUGUGGGCUGAGCCGA